rnacentral:rRNA from 1 species
GACGAACGCUGGCGGCGUGCUUAACACAUGCGAGUCGAACGGUAAGGCCCUUCGGGGUACACGAGUGGCGAACGGGUGAGUAACACGUGGGUGAUCUGCCCUGCACUUCGGGAUAAGCCUGGGAAACUGGGUCUAAUACCGGAUAGGACCACUGCCUGCAUGGGUGGUGGUGGAAAGCUUUUGCGGGGUGGGAUGGGCCCGCGGCCUAUCCGCUUGUUGGUGGGGUGAUGGCCUACCAAGGCGACGAAGGUUAGCCGGCCUGAGAGGGUGACCGGCCACACUGGGCUGGAGAUACGGCCCAGACUCCUACGGGAGGCAGCAGUGGGGAAUAUUGCACAAUGGGCGCAAGCCUGAUGCAGCGACGCCGCGUGAGGGAUGACGGCCUUCGGGUUGUAAACCUCUUUCAGCACCGACGAAGCGCAAGUGACGGUAGGUGCAGAAGAAGGACCGGCCAACUACGUGCCAGCAGCCGCCGUAA